AGAGUUUGAUCCUGGCUCAGGAUGAACGCUAGCGGGAAGCUUAACACAUGCAAGCCGAGGGGUAUAGUUCUUUCGGGAACUAGAGACCGGCGCACGGGUGCGUAACGCGUAUGCAACUUGCCCUACUGAAAAGGAUAGCCCUUCGAAAGGAGGAUUAAUACUUUAUAACAGAUUUAAUGGCAUCAUUAGAUUUUGAAAGAUUUAUCGCAGUAGGAUAGGCAUGCGUAAGAUUAGUUAGUUGGUGAGGUAACGGCUCACCAAGACGAUGAUCUUUAGGGGGCCUGAGAGGGUGAACCCCCACACUGGUACUGAGACACGGACCAGACUCCUACGGGAGGCAGCAGUGAGGAAUAUUGGACAAUGGGUGGAAGCCUGAUCCAGCCAUCCCGCGUGUAGGAUGACGGCCUUAUGGGUUGUAAACUACUUUUAUCUGGGGAUAAACCUACUUACGUGUAAGUAGCUGAAGGUACCAGAAGAAUAAGCACCGGCUAACUCCGUGCCAGCAGCCGCGGUAAUACGGAGGGUGCAAGCGUUAUCCGGAUUUAUUGGGUUUAAAGGGUCCGUAGGCGGAUUAAUCAGUCAGUGGUGAAAUCUCAUAGCUUAACUAUGAAACUGCCAUUGAUACUGUUAGUCUUGAGUGAUGUUGAAGUUGCUGGAAUGUGUAGUGUAGCGGUGAAAUGCUUAGAUAUUACGCAGAACACCAAUUGCGAAGGCAGGUGACUAAACAUUAACUGACGCUGAUGGACGAAAGCGUGGGGAGAGAACAGGAUUAGAUACCCUGGUAGUCCAUGCCGUAAACAAUGGAUACUUGCUGUUGGGCUUUCGGGUU
rnacentral:rRNA from 1 species